GUGCGCACCGCGUAUGGAACCUACCUUUUACAGGGGAAUAGCCCAGGGAAACUUGGAUUAAUGCCCCGUGGCACCGCGAUCCGGCAUCGGGACGCGGUUAAAGCCUUCGGGCGGUAGAAGAUGGCCAUGCGUCCCAUUAGUUAGUUGGUAAGGUAACGGCUUACCAAGACAGCGAUGGGUAGGGGCCCUGAGAGGGGGAUCCCCCACACUGGUACUGAGACACGGACCAGACUCCUACGGGAGGCAGCAGUGAGGAAUAUUGGACAAUGGAGGAGACUCUGAUCCAGCCAUGCCGCGUGCAGGAAGAAUGCCCUAUGGGUAGUAAACUGCUUUUAUACGGGAAGAAAAAAGGGUACGUGUACCCUACUGACGGUACCGUAAGAAUAAGGACCGGCUAACUCCGUGCCAGCAGCCGCGGUAAUACGGAGGGUCCGAGCGUUAUCCGGAAUUAUUGGGUUUAAAGGGUCCGUAGGCGGGCCGGUAAGUCAGUGGUGAAAGUCUGUAGCUCAACUAUAGAAUUGCCUUUGAUACUGCCGGUCUUGAUUUAUGGUGAAGUUGCCGGAAUAUGUGGUGUAGCGGUGAAAUGCAUAGAUAUCACAUAGAACACCGAUUGCGAAGGCASGUGACUAACCAUAUACUGACGCUGAUG
rnacentral:rRNA from 1 species